GCACUGAUGAUGAGUCCUAAACAGGACGAAACAGCUGUCCAGUGC
rnacentral:hammerhead_ribozyme from 1 species